rnacentral:tRNA from 1 species
GCCCUCGUCGUCUAGAGGACCAGGACACAGCCCUUUCAAGGCUGCGACACGGGUUCGAAUCCCGUCGAGGGCAC